GUUUGUUGCGUUCCAAGGAGUUGGGGUCCAAUCACAACACCUCAUCCAUGCUGUGCCUUCAUGAGAAUAAGGAGGGAAGUGGAGCUUCAGCCAGCCGAGCCACCAGAAAACAAGAGCUGGGUGAAGCCCUUGUCUCCAUGACAUUGAAGGACACACAGCCCUUCAGUAUUGUGGAUGAUGUUGCAUUCAGGACAUUUGUGUCCAAAUUGGAUCCCAAUGAUGUUCUCCCUACAAGGCAGGCUCUUUGGUGGAGGCCAAGUAUGAGUCAGCAAAGGAGAAGGCUAAGGCUGGAGUGGAGAAGGUGGCUGCUGUUAGCCUUCAUCUGAUAAGUGGACAUCCAUCCAUAUGGAUGCCUACCUGGCUGUAACACGCCAUUUUGUGGAUGACAACACCAGGCUUGGUUCAGUGCUGAUGGGCAUCGUCUGGACACCAGUGUCACGGAAGCACAAAAGACCCAAAAUGUAACUGCAGAUGCCACUGUGGAGGUCCAGCGCUACCUUUCUGGACCAAAUAUCAGCAGGCUGGAAAACCCUCUGGUGUACUGGGAGAGGCCAAAACUGUUGUACCCAAAUUGAUAUCAUCCGGCAAUUGCAUUUUUGUGCACGCCAGUGUCUUCUGUCCCCUGUGAAAGGGUGUUUUCAAAGGCUGGAGAAAU